ensembl:lncRNA
CCAAUUUGAAGGGCUCUGUUGUGCAGUGUAGUGAUAGCAUGGGGCAGUGGAAGCUUAAGUUAAAACACUGCAAUCACAGAGCAUACCAAGGGUGGGUUGGUUAGUAAAGAGUGGCUGUAUCUUUGACUGAAGCACAGAGGAAGAGAGGAAAGAAGUGGGCGAGCAUUCGGGAAUGCAAGGCUUUCUCCUUUUGCUGUUUUUAAAAAGAAAUUCUGGAAACAAAUUUGUGUUGUUCCUAAAAUCAGGAUGAUGAAGCUGUUCUGUAUUAAAAACCUGCCUUACUUCAUUAUAUUCUAGGGUUUUAAUAGCUGCUACUUUUCCACUGAGCUGUUCCUGGUUACAUGCUACUGUGAACAUGCCUGUCAAGCAGAAUGGUGUUUGGACCAAUAUACACAUAGUUACAAAAUUAAGUGCAACAAAACAGCUCCAGGAUAUAUUAUCCAUUCUGGAGAUAACACUGCAUCCCCCCUUAACUUGCAAUGCUUACCUCAUCUUCAUAGGGAUGACUGUAUGCUGACAAGGAAACAGGUUUUUGAAUGAGCUACCAGAAUACCAUUGCAAAGCUUACUGUAACUCUAAAAGAAAAUCUCUUGUACUGAUUGUACAUCUCUGUCUGUGAUGCACUAUGAAAAGGAAUCUGCUUCUCCUGGAAAAAGUUCUGUGCUUUGAAAUGAAGCUUUCCUGGAAUUUUCCACUUGCCCUUCAUGGCUUUCAGGUGGAGCCCCAUCAGGAGCAGCCUUCCUGGAAGUCAGUAGAAAAGAGUAGUAAAAACGUGAGCAAGAAACGUGCAGUGUACCACAGGGUGGUUUAGGACUGCAAGUGGUUUGGAACUCUGGGUUUCAACUGUUAUAAAAAACUGGACAAUUUUAUUAAUGAAGUUCACAAGGAAGCAGCUGUAGUAUACUGUAAAUCACAGGAGAAACUAUAUCUUGCAGAGCAAGAACAGUUGUGUAAAGAAGUUUCAAACAAGUUAAAAACCACUGUUUUUCCCAAGGGCUCCUGUUUUUGUAAGUGUUUAGGUUUGUACAUUCUUUGGAACCUUGUCUUUUGUUCUGGAAUGCCUUACUGAAUGUGAGAAGUUGAAAUGGGCUCAAUAGAUCAUGAGUAUGAUUUUGAAACUUCCAUAAACAACAGCACGGUGUACUGUGAAAUAUUUAUCUUAAGAGAGCAUGAUGCUCAGAAGAAAUCCUUAAUCUCCAACACACGCAGUUGAAUGCACAGCAGAAACCAUGCAUGAACACAUGUGUCAAAGCAAGCUGUUUAAAAUAUCAUCAGCAGAAGUGCACCAUACAACUUACACUGGAGGAGAGAAGUGGUACUUCGUGAGAAUUUAGUUUUACUUUUCUUGGACUCUUCUUUAUGUUUAAAUCUCAAAAUACAUAUUUAUUUAUUGAUUUGGAGGUGGAAUGUGCUUUCUGCCCUACAUUUAAAAGUAAUGCAAAUAAGAUAAAGCUGUUUUCCAAGUGGAGUGUGAUUCUGUUCCUGUUGAGCUCAGAGUCAGUUCUCGCUUACUGAAGUGAUGGAGGACUUUGUGUAUAAGUUCUUGGAUGGGAGAGCUUGCUCAUUCUUGAUUUCCUUUCUUCAUAUGGAUUGAUGUGUGACCAAAAGACACAACUUUGGCUGCUAAAACACACAACCUGAACAGUAUUAAAAAUGAAGAUUGGUUUAAAACUUGUUUUAUUCCCUUUUUUCAAUCUAUUGAAAAAAUUAUUUCAAUGUACUGAUCAUUUAAAUACACAGAUUUUCUUUGUAUUCUGUUGUAAAUUGUAUUUUUGGUGAUGAGUUGUAUUUGAACGUGUAUCUAUGUUGUUGCAAACAGGGUCUUCCAAGGCUUUCUAAGUUUGCAUACUUUCUGGAACAGAGAGGCUUCUCAUGAAAGCUUAUUCCUCCUUUUUCCCAGUAAAAUCACUAAUUUACUUUUGGCAAUGCAUUUCAGUGAUGCCUAAUGAGAAGCUGAAUUUGUUUAAGCCUUUAAAUUUGAUUUGUUAUAAAUACUGAAAUGGUUUUUUUAAGGAUUGAGUUGCAUAUUGCUUGAAUGUUACUCCAGAUUCUCCUGAAAACUUAUACUCAUUUAAUUUUCACAUAAUCUCUCAUUGUUUGUUCACGUUUUAGAUAAAUAACUGCACUAAUUUGUCAUGGUAGCUUAUGUCCUAAAGUAAUCUGGAAAAAGAAUGAUUUUUAAUUUGUGUGCUAUACUAAACACAGUACUUCAGUUUGGUUUUGGUUUUAACUUCUGGAAUUUUGAUUGUUUUUACUAACUGACUGCAGUGCAGUAUCCUGCCUGCCUCAUGGGCUGUUGUCCUGUGUUUAGUGCUGUCUUUGUAAGGACUUGAAUAUGUGGAGAAAGAAAUCCAGCUUUUAUUCCUUCGCUGCUUCAGAACUGCCGUAGAGUUUUGUUGUUUGGGGAUUGCUGUUGUGCUUAAAUGCCAAGUUACUCAGCACUGAAAAGAGUCUUCAGCUGCUCAAAAUCAGAGUGCGUCUGUAAUAAAGGUGAU